rnacentral:misc_RNA from 1 species
GAUGAAGAACGUAGCGAAAUGCGAUAAGUAAUGCGAAUUGCAGAAUCCGUGAAUCAUCGAAUCUUUGAACGCACAUUGCGCCCGCCAGCAUUCUGGCGGGCAUGCCUGUUCGAGCGUCAUUUCAACCCUCAAGCUCUGCUUGGUGUUGGGGCCCUACGUCUGACGUAGGCCCUCAAAGACAGUGGCGGACCCUCUCGGAGCCUCCUUUGCGUAGUAACUAACGUCUCGCACUGGGAUUCGGAGGGACUCUUGCCGUAAAACCCCCAAUUUUUACAGGUUGACCUCGGAUCAGGUAGGAAUACCCGCUGAACUUAAGCAUAUCAAUAAGCGGAGGA